AAAAUCCUGGGAUGUGCGAGACCCCUUUUAUUUUUGAACCUACAUCGACAUUAAGGGAUUCCAAGAUCGCAGGUUGGAUGUCAGACCUCUCGUUGUGGUAGGCAGAAAAUCUGUUGAGGAAACCCACCUAGCAAACGCUAGGAGUCAAAAGAAAGGGAACGGCAUUCUGGGAUUUUU
rnacentral:other from 1 species